CCCUUUAAAUAGAGAUAGAGGAGGGAGAAGUUGGACUCCUUCCCGGCCUCCUAAUCCGACUCCGAUCAGGAGUCUACAGAAGAAAAGACUCCUAAUGGGAGUCUUCUCUCCGUUUCUCCCUUUUUUUUUUUUUCUUUUUAAUUUACUUCUAACGAGAGUCUUCUCUCCAUUUCCCCUUUUUUUUAUUUUUUGUUUUUUCAGUGAGUUGACAUUCGUGCGGGGUAUUUCAAGAAGUGUAUGGGGUAACUUAAAAGCUAUCUCUCAAGCUUCGUAUGUAACUGAAAAGUUUGACUGAAACCAUAUAUGCUUUAACACAUAUAAUAUGCUGGAGCAUAUUGGAGACAUCUCUUUUAUAAAAAAGGCGAUCCUGUUUUGUUUCGGUUUGUUAGCUGUUGAAAAGAGACAGGUCAGGUAUUAUAUUAACAUGUUUGCAGAGGCAAUCGUAUCAGGAGAGGGGCUAGGGUUUUAUAUGCUGAAUGAACCUUCCAUGAAACUGCUGCAAUUGCUGUGGCUCUAUUAAUAACUUGAGAGAAGAUGGUCUAGAAUCAAAAAAAAAAAAAUUCGUGCUUGAAAGGAAGGCUGUGGGAAGGACGGCCUGCUCCCGUUUUCUCACACCUGUGAUUAAUGAUGGAAGAGUGUCACCAGCCAAAUCUUCUCUGUAUUCAAUGGCAAUUGAGAAUGCUUAUUAAAAAGGAAGACCAAAAGUCCAAAAUGAAUGUGAACUCAUUUAUAUGAUUUGCUGAUGGACAUACAUUUCUCUGCUUGCCAUCUGGAAAAUGUAAAUGAUUUUGACAUGAGCUGCACUGGAGGACAGGCUAUGCUAGACUGCUGGUUGAUACAGUGGACCAAAAUCAAAGGGUAACCCACUGAUCAGUUGCUCAAGUCAUCAGGAAAAUUUUUAGCUUCUUUGGCUUCAUGCAAGCCUGCUUUGCUAAAGGUAAGCAUCUAUUUUUGGCUAGGCUAUGAUGUAACUCUUUUUCUGUUUAUACAUCAACACAAUCUUCAGUUCCAGAUUGGAGGUGGGUGGUAUUAUACUGGGAAUAAUAAGAGAUGUUGAUUUAGAUUUCUACUUUCUCAUGAACUAUGAACCUUGUGAAUAAAAUGGAAAUUACCUGAUUAUGAGUUUGGAACUUUGAUAGUGGUCCACCUCCCUGGGAUUUGGAAACUGUUUGAGUUCAUGAGCAUUUAGCCCACACAAGUUUCCAGAGACUAGGGUGGUGUGAGGAAGAUGGCGUCUAUCAUUUCAAUAGAUGAAGGUCAGACCUGAUAAGAGAAUCGUGGACUGUGAUGUGCAGUUAUUCAUUUGAUAUUUAGGGUGCUUUAUUGUUAUUUUACCCUUGCAGUAAAUAAAGAAUUAUAAACCAUGCUUGAGAUGAAGGUUGCAGACUGGAGAUUAAGAUUCUGUAUAUAGUCUUAUUCUCAUUGUCCAAAGAUUAAAUAACUAACUCUGUGCUCCUUUGCUCCUAUCUGCUGUGCAUUUUCUAAGCUUUGGCCAAGAUCCAAUUCUACUCACCAGAAGUAAACUGCUGUGUAAGCUGAAAAAAUUCUCAUCAUUUGAGAAGCUUGAGUGAGGAGCAUUACUCUGGAUCCCAACAAAAAGAAUCCAUGGGAUGUCAAAAGAGGAGCAUUAAAUUAGAUGGAAAAUAGUACAAAGGCAAAGCUCAUUGCCUAUACAUUACAAAUAUGUGUAUAAUAAGCACCAAUAUGGAUAAUUAUCUGGUGGACAGAGAAUGUGCUAACUGUGAUUAUCUACAUUGCUUCCAUCAUUAUGCUGGUCAAAUGAUUGUCGAGG